rnacentral:lncRNA from 1 species
AUCUGAGCUCGAAUCGGAGCGAAGGAUUCGUUCAAACCCAGCAGAAAUUGCAUCAUAGAUUCUCGUUGUUGAUCCUUCAUAUAAACACGCAUGCCACUGCAAUUGCAAACUGGUAUCGCCUUGAAUUCUCGAAGCUCAUCCUACAAGGAUUUCAGUCGAGUAUAGUAGGUAUUGACAUCAGCCGAUCCCUGAGUGUGAGCAAGAAUUUUUUGCUUGAGUUCAAAAAUU